rnacentral:rRNA from 1 species
AUGUUGGAUGCACUGCAGUGGGAUCAAAUACGAGUAUGUGCGAAGAUUGGGAUGGAGUGCACAGAAGUCGAUCCGGCAAAGAGACCAGCUAGUAUGAAGCACAUAAUCGAUUGCCUUGCUGAAAUAGAAUGUAGUACGCAUGUAAUCCCAGCAGGUGGGACAAGAGAGCUUCUUCUCGUUCACCCGUCCGUGAUUUGCUUCCCCUUUGAGCCCAACAAGGCUAUCACGUGCCCGCUGCAGCUAACAAAUAACACCGAUAAGCACGUUGCAUUUAGGCUUAUGGAUAAUAGCAUGGAGUCUUCCUUCCUAAGGCUGCCAUUGUAUGACGUUGUGCCACCUAACACACCUUACACUCUCAUUGUGACAACACAAAAGAAAGAAGAUCUACCACGAAAGUAUAUCAUAGAUGUGAUCCUCCAAAGUGCUACCUUAAUAUUGGGGGAUGAUGAUCAUAUAAACACUUUUCGAAGCCAGCCAGACAAGUUUUUUCAAGAGACAGGGAAUGAUGUACAGGUGGUGAAACAGAAAGCACUUUAUACCUUGACACACAUCGCAACGUCAUUCUCUAAGCCAAUCUUGUCCACAGUCAAGGUACACGUCUACGUAGAAAUGCAUCUCAGUUGCUUGGACACAAACCGGGCCAAGCAGUGGAUAAUAAUAGGAGACGAAAAUGGACACGUUGGCUUUUGGGACUAUCCGACACAGAAAAAAGUGGAUGCGCUUAAAGUCUCAGCGAGUCGUGUUACGUGCAUUAGAUUCAUUGAACGGAAGCAAUGGAUUGUUGCUGGGACAGAAGAUGGGUAUCUCCAUGUGUACAGCUAUGAAACAAGAAUUCAGAAGAUCACGAGUUUAAGAGUUGGUGCCAUUGAGAAUCUGGAGUCACGGGCUGCUCAUACCCAUCUGGCCAUCCAUCCAACCCAGCCGUAUUUGUUGUCGGUGUAUGGUUUUAAAGUGAAACUUUGGGACUGGGACGUGGGCUGGGAGUGCAUACAAACAUUUGAGAAUGAAGAGCUUAUGACAAUACUUCGAGUCGCAUUUAACCCAAAUGACACAUUUGCGACUGCUUCGAUGGAUUGCACAGUGGAGGUUUGGAGUCUUGAUUCUCCCGAAUUUAUAUACACUCUAGUAGGGCAUUCGAGCAUAGUGAAUUGCCUGGAUUUCUUCACAUGUGAUGAUCAGGAGUAUUUGGUUACUGGCUCACAUGAUCAGACUGCAAAGAUAUGGGAUCUGCAGAAGAUGAUGUGUAUACAUACACUUGAGGCUUUUGUAUCUCCAGUAAUGUCUCUCCUGUACCAACCCGAUCUUCAGAUUCUAAUUACAGGUUCACAAGAUGGCGCUAUUUAUUUGUGGAGCACCAGAAACUGCGGGAAUUAUUCAUGUCCCCCGGCGCUUAAUAGAAUCAUUAAGGUUGGUUGUGCUGGAGCUGUCUACCAUCUCGCAUGUGUGAUGGGAGGGCUUCUGAUUGGAAAAGAAAAUGCAGUAGCAAUUAUCGAUGUCGAUGAUGUGAAUUAUCAGGAGCAACCAACGGAUAAAAGUGAGCAGCAAUUAAGUGCAUGUACGACACACCAUGCUGGAGACAUGUCUAAGGAAAAAGCAUGGUCCAAGAGCAAGCUACUUGAUGUCCACCUGCUGGAACUCCGCUUCCCCUAUUGUCCCAAUGAGCCUAUCCCUUGCUCACUGCACCUAACAAACAACACAGAUGAAAAUGUGGCAUUUAGACUUGUAGACAAGAGUGGCAAGUCCCCAUGGUGCUUCACAAAGUUGCCGCUGUGCGGCAUUGUCCCUCAUGGAUCCACUUACACUUUGACUGUGACAAUGAAGGAGGAGAUGAAGCUAAAGGAAGAGACAGACUUUGAUCUCGUUAUUCAGAGCAGUUUAUUGGGAGAUAAGUACAUCGAGGUAUUCAAUGACCAAUCUGAGUCUGAUACAUUUUUCAAAGAAGCCAAACUGUUUGGGAAUAUGGUGCAUGAAGUGACACUGAAAGCUGUUUAUGUGCAGUACGGAGACAUUACAUCUGAGAAUAUAUCUGUGAAGUAUAAUCCUGACUCUUUGUGGUCCCUGGAUGCACACCCAACAGAGCCAUGGAUUUUAACAGGUCAUAAUAGUGGAUAUGCUCGCAUAUGGAACAAUGAGAUGAAGUUCCUGAUUAAUUCGUUUAAAGUCUCAGAUCAGGAUGCAGUAAGCUGCGUCAAAUUUAUUGCAAGAAUGGCCCUAGGUUUGCUUGGUUCCUCUCUAGAGGAAGCGUUGCAUGCCAAGAGACAUAGACAGUGGUGA